ACAACAAGAAACACCCGAUACACCCAGAUUCUUCUUAGUGUUUCUUGGCACAAAGAUCUGAUAUGGCAACCAAUUUUGGGUGGCAAAGAGCUAUCUUGGAAAGAAUUAAAUGAAAGAAAAUCAGAAUCCAAACUAAUUCUGCAUGAGGAGCAAACUGAGAAAGAAUUGAAACCAAUUUUUGGAAAACUUGAUUUGGGCAGCCGAAACCUUACUUUGUUUUGCAGAUUUUGUGGACCCAGAAAGGAAGAAAUUCUUCUCCUCUAAUUAACCAUGCCUCUUUUCCUUCUUUUACUAUGGAAAUUAUAAUAAAAUCAGAAAAUUUGGGCAGCAUAAGGAGUAGAUGGCUGGUGGUUGCUUAAAGCCUAUCCAAGGAGGAGAGAUUCUAUACCAAAUAAAAAAAAUGAUAUAUAGAAUAAAAUCAUGGAAAAAAUACCACCUUAACCCUAGCCCUAGCCCUAUUUAAGGAUCCUAAAACACCAGCAGGAGGGGGAGGAGAAUCAUCUUUGAAAGCUAGAAAUCAAGCAAAGAGAGUUUGGAGUAUCUGGAAGAUUUGAAGAGAGGAUUCAUUCGGCUCUGCAAUUCCUUCAGAGUUUUUAAUUCUUUCUCUUGUUUACUUUGAAUUUAUUUUCUAGAACUCAUUGUUAGGAUGAUUUUGGAGUUUUAUUCAAGUAAACUUGAGUUUG
rnacentral:lncRNA from 1 species